UACGUAGGGGGCAAGCGUUGUCCGGAAUCAUUGGGCGUAAAGAGCGUGUAGGCGGCUCGGUAAGUCCGCUGUAAAAGUCCAGGGCUCAACCCUGGAAAGCCGGUGGAAACUGUCGAGCUAGAGUCCGGAAGAGGCGAGUGGAAUUCCUGGUGUAGCGGUGAAAUGGCGCAGAUAUCAGGAGGAACACCAAUUGCGAAGGCAGCUCGCUGGGACGUUACUGACGCUGAGACGACGAAGCGUGGGGAGCAAACAGG
rnacentral:rRNA from 1 species